rnacentral:rRNA from 1 species
GCUUACGCCCAUAUCAGCCUGGGUACGCCCGAUCUCGUCUGAUCUCGGAACCUAAGCAGAGUCGGGCCUGGUUAGUACUUGGAUGGGAGACCGCCUGGGAAUACCAGGUGCUGUAAGCA